GGGGUUGUAGCUCAGUGGUAGAGUGCUUGCCUUGCAUGCACAAGACCUUGGGUUCGAGCCUCAGCACCA
rnacentral:tRNA from 1 species